GUGAGGAAUAUUGGUCAAUGGGCGCAAGCCUGAACCAGCCAUGCCGCGUGCAGGAAGACGGUCCUAUGGAUUGUAAACUGCUUUUAUUUGGGAAUAAACUCCGGUACGUGUACCGGCCUGAAGGUACCAAAUGAAUAAGCACCGGCUAACUCCGUGCCAGCAGCCGCGGUAAUACGGAGGGUGCAAGCGUUAUCCGGAAUCAUUGGGUUUAAAGGGUCCGCAGGCGGUCUUAUAAGUCAGUGGUGAAAGCCUACAGCUCAACUGUAGAACUGCCAUUGAUACUGUAGGACUUGAAUUCGAUCGAAGUGGGCGGAAUGUGACAUGUAGCGGUGAAAUGCUUAGAUAUGUCACAGAAAACCGAUAGCGAAGGCAGCUCACUAGGUCUGGAUUGACGCUCAGGGACGAAAGCGUGGGGAGCAAACAGGAUUAGAAACCCGUGUAGUCC
rnacentral:rRNA from 1 species